rnacentral:rRNA from 1 species
AACACAUGCAAGUCGCACGAGAAAGGGGCUUCGGCUCUGAGUAAAGUGGCGCACGGGUGAGUAACACGUGACUUAUCUACCUCCGAGUGGGGAAUAACUGAGGGAAACCUUAGCUAAUACCGCAUAACACUUACGAGUCAAAGCAGCAAUGCGCUUGGAGAGGAGGUCGCGGCAGAUUAGCUAGUUGGCGAGGUAACGGCCCACCAAGGCGAUGAUCUGUAUCCGGCCUGAGAGGGCGCACGGACACACUGGAACUGAAACACGGUCCAGACUCCUACGGGAGGCAGCAGUGGGGAAUUUUGCGCAAUGGGGGAAACCCUGACGCAGCAACGCCGCGUGGAGGAUGAAGUCUCUUGGGACGUAAACUCCUUUCGAUAGGGACGAUAAUGACGGUACCUAUAGAAGAAGCCCCGGCUAACUUCGUGCCAGCAGCCGCGGUAAUACGAGGGGGGCAAGCGUUGUUCGGAAUUAUUGGGCGUAAAGGGCGCGUAGGCGGUUUGGCAAGUUUGGUGUGAAAUCUUCGGGCUCAACUCGAAGUCUGCACCGAAAACUGCCGGGCUUGAGUAUGGGAGAGGUGAGUGGAAUUUCCGGUGUAGCGGUGAAAUGCGUAGAUAUCGGAAGGAACACCUGUGGCGAAAGCGGCUCACUGGACCAUUACUGACGCUGAGGCGCGAAAGCUAGGGGAGCAAACAGGAUUAGAUACCCUGGUAGUCUUAGCCCUAAACGAUGAUUGCUUGAUGUGGCAGGUACCCAAUCCUGCCGUGUCGAAGCUAACGCGAUAAGCAAUCCGCCUGGGGAGUACGGUCGCAAGGCUGAAACUCGAAGGAAUUGACGGGGGCCCGCACAAGCGGUGGAGCAUGUGGUUUAAUUCGACGCAACGCGGAGAACCUUACCUGGGCUCGAAAUGUACGGGAAUCACUUAGAAAUAGGUGCGCCUAGCAAUAGGCCCGUAUAUAGGUGCUGCAUGGCUGUCAUCGGCUCGUGUCGUGAGAUGUUGGGUUAAGUCCCGCAACGAGCGCAACCCUUAUCUCCAGUUGCUACCAUUUAGUUGAGCACUCUGGCGAAACCGCCUCGGAUAACGGGGAGGAAGGUGGGGAUGACGUCAAGUCCUCAUGGCCUUUAUGUCCAGGGCUGCACACGUGCUACAAUGGCCGGUACAAACCGCUGCGAACCCGCGAGGGGGAGCCAAUCGGAAAAAGCCGGCCUCAGUUCGGAUUGGAGUCUGCAACUCGACUCCAUGAAGCUGGAAUCGCUAGUAAUCGCAGAUCAGAAUGCUGCGGUGAAUACGUUCCCGGGUCUUGUACACACCG